GGCUGCGGCGGGCGGAGCGUGGAGGCCUUGUGCCUGCCGGUUCAUUGUCCCGGUUUUCGAGCCACGUCUCCGCCCGCCACCUUU
rnacentral:antisense_RNA from 1 species